UACGUAGGGGGCAAGCGUUGUCCGGAUUUAUUGGGCGUAAAGAGCGUGUAGGCGGCUAGGUAGGUCCGUUGUGAAAACUCGAGGCUCAACCUCGAGCUGUCGAUGGAAACCAUCUGGCUAGAGUCCGGAAGAGGAGAGUGGAAUUCCUGGUGUAGCGGUGAAAUGCGCAGAUAUCAGGAAGGAACACCCAGUGGCGAAGGCGGGCUCUCGGUCGG
rnacentral:rRNA from 1 species